UACGUAGGGUGCGAGCGUUAAUCGGAAUUACUGGGCGUAAAGCGUGCGCAGGCGGUUUUGUAAGCCAGAUGUGAAAUCCCCGGGCUCAACCUGGGAAUGGCAUUUGGGACUGCAAGGCUCGAGUGCGGCAGAGGAGACUGGAAUUCCUGGUGUAGCAGUGAAAUGCGUAGAUAUCAGGAGGAACACCGAUGGCGAAGGCAGGUCUCUGGGCUGACACUGACGCUGAGGCACGAAAGCGUGGGGAGCAAACAGG
rnacentral:rRNA from 1 species